GGGAAUGUUAAAUAUUCAUUUUGCAAAAAUGAAUUUGGUAAUAAGUUUUACCCAUUCCCU
rnacentral:tRNA from 1 species